rnacentral:rRNA from 1 species
UACGAAGGGGGCUAGCGUUGUUCGGAAUUACUGGGCGUAAAGCGCGCGCAGGCGGCCAUUCAAGUCAGGGGUGAAAGCCCAGAGCUCAACUCUGGAACUGCCCUUGAAACUGUAUGGCUUGAGUAUGAGAGAGGUGAGUGGAAUUCCCAGUGUAGCGGUGAAAUGCGUAGAGAUCGGGAGGAACAUCAGUGGCGAAGGCGGCCAUCUGGGACAACACUGACGCUGAAGCACGAAAGCGUGGGGAGCAAACAGG